rnacentral:rRNA from 1 species
ACUCCUACGGGAGGCAGCAGUGGGGAAUAUUGCACAAUGGGGAAGGCCAUCGAUGCAGCCAUGCCGCGCUGUGUGAAGAAGGCCAAUUCGGGCUUGGUUAAGACACUUUCAGCGAGGAGGAAAGGGUGUGUGCUAAUACCAUACAUCUGUGACGUUACUCGCAGAAGAAGCACCGGCUAACUCCGUGCCAGCAGCCGCGGUAAUACGGAGGGUGCGAGCGUUAAUCGGAAUUACUGGGCGUAAAGCGCGCGUAGGCGGUUUGCUAAGUCAGCUGUGAAAGCCCGC